rnacentral:rRNA from 1 species
UACGUAGGGGGCAAGCGUUGUCCGGAAUCAUUGGGCGUAAAGCGCGUGUAGGCGGCCCGAUAAGUCCGCUGUGAAAGUCCAGGGCUCAACCCUGGGAUGCCGGUGGAUACUGUCGGGCUCGAGUCCGGAAGAGGCGAGUGGAAUCCUGGUGCAGGCGGUGAAUGACGCAGAGUAUCAGGAGGAACACCAAUGGCGAAGGCAGCUCGCUGGGACGUGACUGACGCUGAGACGCGAAAGCGUGGGGAGCAAACAGG